UACGUAGGGUGCGAGCGUUAAUCGGAAUUACUGGGCGUAAAGCGUGCGCAGGCGGUGAUGUAAGACAGGUGUGAAAUCCCCGGGCUCAACCUGGGAAUGGCGAUGAAGACUGCAAGGCUAGAAUCUGGCAGAGGGGGGUAGAAUUCCACGUGUAGCAGUGAAAUGCGUAGAGAUGUGGAGGAACACCGAUGGCGAAGGCAGCCUCCUGGGCCAGCACUGACGCUCAUGCACGAAAGCGUGGGGGAGCAAACAGG
rnacentral:rRNA from 1 species